rnacentral:rRNA from 1 species
AACGAACGCUGGCGGCAGGCUUAACACAUGCAAGUCGAACGCAUCCUUCGGGGUGAGUGGCAGACGGGUGAGUAACGCGUGGGAACGUGCCCUUCAGUUCGGGAUAACCCAGGGAAACUUGGGCUAAUACCGGAUACGUGCGAGAGCAGAAAGAUUUAUCGCUGAAGGAUCGGCCCGCGUCUGAUUAGCUAGUUGGUGGGGUAAUGGCCCACCAAGGCGACGAUCAGUAGCUGGUCUGAGAGGAUGAUCAGCCACAUUGGGACUGAGACACGGCCCAAACUCCUGCGGGAGGCAGCAGUGGGGAAUAUUGGACAAUGGGCGCAAGCCUGAUCCGGCCAUGCCGCGUGAGUGACGAAGGCCUUAGGGUUGUAAAGCUCUUUCGUCCGGGACGAUAAUGACGGUACCGGAAGAAGAAGCCCCGGCUAACUACGUGCCAGCCGCCGCAGUAAAAC